rnacentral:piRNA from 2 species
UAAACAAUGGAGGUUAACAACAGUUUGAU